UGGGGAAUUUUGGACAAUGGGCGAAAGCCUGAUCCAGCAAUGCCGCGUGUGUGAAGAAGGCCUUCGGGUUGUAAAGCACUUUUGUCCGGAAAGAAAUCCUUGGCUCUAAUACAGUCGGGGGAUGACGGUACCGGAAGAAUAAGCACCGGCUAACUACGUGCCAGCAGCCGCGGUAAUACGUAGGGUGCAAGCGUUAAUCGGAAUUACUGGGCGUAAAGCGUGCGCAGGCGGUUUGCUAAGACCGAUGUGAAAUCCCCGGGCUCAACCUGGGAACUGCAUUGGUGACUGGCAGGCUAGAGUAUGGCAGAGGGGGGUAGAAUUCCACGUGUAACAGUGAAAUGCGUAGAGAUGUGGAGGAAUACCGAUGGCGAAGGCAGCCCCCUGGGCCAAUACUGACGCUCAUGCACGAAAGCGUGGGGAGCAAACAGGAUUAGAUACCCUGGUAGUCCACGCCCUAAACGAUGUCAACUAGUUGUGGGGAUUCAUUUCCUUAGUAACGUAGCUAACGCGUGAAGUUGACCGCCUGGGGAGUACGGUCGCAAGAUUAAAACUCAAAUGAAUUGACGGGGUCAUAGCUGUUUCCU
rnacentral:rRNA from 1 species